rnacentral:lncRNA from 1 species
CGCUGAGUCACGGCCGUGCAGGUGCCGCCGUUCCCUGGGCGGGUCGGGCGUCGGGGAGCGGUGCCGGGCGGGUGUCCCUGUGCCCCCCCGGAUCCGUGAGGAAUGGCCGUGCCACUCCAGCUGCCCCGUGCCCACCUUUGCGGCAGCCUUAGCGGGCUCUUCCCCCUCUGGCUUGCCCCAAGAGGGGCAAAACCCCGACCAAUCCAUCCCCUCACCCUCGUGCUCUGCUCCAGACCUUACUGGCAGCCACGGACGCCCCUUUCUUCUGCCUCCACACCAAGUCGUGUCCCACCCCGCUCCCUCUCUUAACCCUUCAUCUAUCCUUUCCUUCUCGGACCUCCCUCUCCCUCCCCAAAUCCCUCCCUUCCCCACACUUACCCUGGGUCAUCCUCCUUCAUUCCCACGGCCCCCGCAGCCUCUCCCCUCCCGGCACCCCCUUGCCGUGAGCCACCAGCCCACCUCGGGUUCACGUCCCCUUUAAGCCUCCCCAGGCUGGAAUGCGAGAGGAGCAUUUCAGCGCCCUGUGAGGUCAGAUAAAGACACUAUAUUUAUCUGGCCGGUAACCUGAGCCCUGAAUUUCUGCGGUGGCAUUUUUUUUACGUGUGGCCCCACAGCCCUCGGGCUCGGCCCCCUCCAGCCACCGCACUCGCUCCCAGGGUAGAGGGGCUGAGCUGGGGGUGCCCUGUCCCCUCCAAAGGGCUCUGCUGCUGCCCAUCUCCACAUCUCCCCUCUCUGGGACCAGGGGAAGAUCCCAAAGGAGGCAGGAUCAGCCCCGUGGGCAUCACCUCAUGCCUGGAUGUUCGUCCUCCUGACCAGCCCUCGGCCGCCCACCCCACACGCAGCUCCUGCGGCUCCUGGCACACUCCGCUCUCCCUCUGCCCUGGGAUACACUUGGAUGUGACGUGGGGACUCGGCAGCACAGGCAGUCCUAGCAGAUGUGAUGUUCCUCCAUGGGAAGGGACACCAGGUACAGGGGAUCUGAGCGCCAGCACCGCCAGGACAGAGGAGCUCGGCUGGGGUCCUGCCUGCCCGGUGCCACCCACAGCCCCAGGACAGGUAGGGAACCAGCCUCGGCACGGGUGCUGAGGGAAAACUUUCCUCCAGCUCCAC